rnacentral:rRNA from 1 species
UACGUAGGCAGCGAGCGUUGUUCGGAGUUACUGGGCGUAAAGAGCUCGUAGGUGGUUUGUCGCGUUGUUCGUGAAAACUCACAGCUUAACUGUGGGCGUGCGGGCGAUACGGGCAGACUGGAGUACUGCAGGGGAGACUGGAAUUCCUGGUGUAGCGGUGGAAUGCGCAGAUAUCGGGAGGAACACCAAUUGCGAAGGCGAGCUCGCCUGGGACGUCGACUGACGCUGAGACGCGAAAGCGUGGGGAGCAAACAGGGAUUAAG